rnacentral:rRNA from 1 species
CCUCACGCAUACCACCCUGAAUGCACUGAAUCUUGUCUGAUCUUGGGAGUUAAGCAGGGUUUGGUCUGGUUAGUACUUGAAUAGGAGACUGCCUGGGAAUACCAGGUGCUGUAGGGG